CAACGGUGCUCAGAUGGUUACAUGUAUCCAAAAGCUUCCAUCCAAAAAUAUUUGGGAUACUUCUCCUGUUUUGAAGAAAAUGAACUGCAGCCUUUUUGAAGUGCAUUAAUUAUGUACCUCAUAAUUCAGUUUAUUUGGAGAUAUGUUCUGCUUCUGUUUUCAUGGAUUCCUAUUUCUACAUCAUUCAUUUGACAAACAUAAAAAGUGGACAUUGUGGCAGCAUGGGCUCUGAACAUGUUCUCUCCUUCCUGUUCUCAAGAACAUACAAUGGAGAAGGCACAUUGAGUAGCACACCUGCCCAACCUUCCACACCGCCAUCAGCUUUCCGUGUAUCAAACAAAAAACACCAAACAAAGAAGACUGUUUCUAGGUAAGUAUAGUGUGCGAAUGUGAUCGCGGGUGAUUGUUUUUUCGAAUGAAUAUGGAGAUCAUAAUUAAAAACCAAAACUUUGUCAGCAUCAGCAAAGGUGCAAAGACCUCUUAUGAAAAUGCAGUCCCUGAUGAAAACUCUUCUGCCAAAAACCUAAAAGUAAUUUUUUUUUCUCCACAAAAUAUAUAUCUACACAUGACCUAUGUCAUGACAAUUACAUUGUUCUCGUCUCUACUUCAGUGUGAUUCAGACGAAGUGUGUUUUCCUGAAACCAACCAGAACACUGAGCCUUCUUCUGUGAAGGAUGAUGCAACCCAACAGAACAAAAGAGAUGAUCACAAGUUCGCCUUACUCUCCGGUAAAGAGGAGCCAAAUUUGUCAUCUCUCAAGUCACCAAAGCGACCUAACUGCCCACCUGAAGAUGAAACUUUUAUUGUGGAGAAUGACAAAAGAAAAAGAAAAAGAAAAAGUGACUACAGUCAGCCUGAGGACUACAAAGGGUCUGAGAUCGGCUCAGGUUUGGAGGACAGAGGGAACACCCAGUCCAAUUGUGAGGGGAACGAAAACAAGCCACAUAUCAUCCUGUCAUUCAAGCCAGAGCAAAUGAGAGAGAAGAGGUUUUUGAAUGAAACAUUUACUCAAAAUUCAGAAGAUGAACACUCCACUGCAAAAAUGCCUGAUCAGCCAUUUGGAGUGCGUACAUCCUGGGAAGAUUGUGCUGUUGAACAAAUUAAAAACAUUGCUUAUGGGAGCAUCGAAGACUUAAACAAUGACAUCAGUGUACCAAUCAGAAUAAGCAAUUUUGUCCAAUAUGCCAAUGUAAUUGACAUUGUUCAAAAAUUUUGGAGGAAUCAGGAAAAGCAGGAUGUCACCCUUUUAGUUGGUAGAUUCUCAGUACGGUUGCAAGGAAGUGAUCUGUACUGUUGUCCAGUCAAAAAAGAUGAGAAAAAUCUUCAUCUUCAUUACAAAAAUCUUUCUUAUGCAACACUGAAACUAUCGAAAAGAAAUGCUAAAAACUUUUCUGAGACAAUUUGGAACUAUAUCAUGGGGAACCAUGACAAAGUUGAAUCUUAUGUACUGACACCUCAAGAUGCCACUGCAGUAUGUGCUGUUUUGUUCUCAGAAGUUAUUAGGUAUCCUGACAUGUUUUUCCACAACAUUCUUCUGAUGCAUU
rnacentral:lncRNA from 1 species